AUUGAACGCUGGCGGCAGGCUUAACACAUGCAAGUCGAGCGAGCGGCGGACGGGUGAGUAAUGUCUGGGAAACUGCCUGAUGGAGGGGGAUAACUACUGGAAACGGUAGCUAAUACCGCAUACCAUCAGAUGUUCCCAGAUUGGCUUGGCUCGUAGGUGGGGUAAUGGCUGACCUAGGCGAUGAUCCCUAGCUGGUCUGAGAGGAUGACCGGCCACACUGGAACUGAGACACGGUCCAGACUCCUACGGGAGGCAGGAGUGGGGAAUAUUGCACGAUGGGCGCAAGCCUGAUGCAGCCAGGCCGCGUGUGUGAAGAAGGCCUUCGGGUUGUAAAGCACUUUCAGCGAGGAGGCGUUACUCAAAGAAGACGCACCGGCUAACUCCGUGCCAGCAGCCGCGGUAAUAC
rnacentral:rRNA from 1 species